UACGGAGGGGGCUAGCGUUGUUCGGAAUUACUGGGCGUAAAGAGCGCGUAGGCGGUUUAUCAAGUUGGAAGUGAAAGCCCAAGGCUUAACCUUGGAAUUGCUUUCAAGACUGAUAGACUAGAGAGUGGUAGAGGAUGGUGGAAUUCCUAGUGUAGAGGUGAAAUUCGUAGAUAUUAGGAGGAACACCGGUGGCGAAGGCGGCCAUCUGGGCCAUUUCUGACGCUGAGGCGCGAAAGCGUGGGGAGCAAACAGG
rnacentral:rRNA from 1 species